rnacentral:sRNA from 1 species
UCCUCUCCCAGGAUUCAAAGGCGAGAGAGUGCUUCAUCCCACCUCACCGGUUGACUGUUCUAUCUGUUAGAUCGGCUGGGAUAUAACCCUAAAGUGAAACUACAUAAAGACGGUGUCUUCUGGAAUUUGAUAGGAGAUUCUUUUCCAACCUUCAGGGGACUCUUAAAUCUGAACCUCCGCUCUGUUGCACUGAGCUCGGGAUAUCUUUGCUUAGGACACUGAAGGCUGUGGAAGAAACACCCAUCUCCCUUUCCUUAUCCCAUCCAAAAGGGUCACAGUGGACACACGCAUAUCAAGAGGC